CUACGGGUCGCACCAGUGGGGAAUCUUAGACAAUGGGCGCAAGCCUGAUCUAGCCAUGCCGCGUGAGUGAUGAAGGCCUUAGGGUCGUAAAGCUCUUUCGCUGGGGAAGAUAAUGACGGUACCCAGUAAAGAAACCCCGGCUAACUCCGUGCCAGCAGCCGCGGUAAUACGGAGGGGGUUAGCGUUGUUCGGAAUUACUGGGCGUAAAGCGCGCGUAGGCGGACUGUUAAGUCGGGGGUGAAAUCCCGGGGCUCAACCCCGGAACGGCCUUCGAUACUGGCAGUCUGGAGUUCGAGAGAGGUGUGUGGAAUUCCGAGUGUAGAGGUGAAAUUCGUAGAUAUUCGGAGGAACACCAGUGGCGAAGGCGGCUCACUGGUUCGAUACUGACGCUGAGGUGCGAAAGUGUGGGGAGCAAACAGGAUUAGAUACCCGAGUAGUC
rnacentral:rRNA from 1 species